UGAGGUCAGGUAAAACAAUUUCAUUGUCUUUCAGAUUUCCAAAAAAUCCCGAAAUUAAAACAAAAUGGAUUGACGCCACGCACCGUGGACAGUUAUGGUACCCAUGUAAUACGAGUGUCAUUUGCUCAAGGCACUUCACUGCAGAUAAUUUCCAUCAAGUAACGAGCCAGCGGAGACGAUUAUUGAGUUCUGCAGUACCAACUCUAUAUUUACCGGUUUUGAUUGAGGAUAUAACUCAGCAACAUGACAACUCAGCAGUAGCAGUUCAAAUACCGCAAAACAUUGGCUGUGAUGUCCAUGAUGAAGGCACAUUUAAAAAAGAGGAUGGCUCUACUCUGCAGGGUUCAGUGUUAACAACAUCCCAAGAGCAGAAUACUGUGUCACAAACACCUACCACGAAGCGAGAAGUAUGCAGAGUCCGGGACCCUGAAUCACCAUCUGCUUAUAAUUCUCCUGUCGAAAAACGACUUUCUCGAAGAAUCAUGGAACUUAAGUGCAAAGUAAAUGAAAAAAAUGUUAAAUUGCGAAAGUUGCGUGAUUCAAACAGGAGAUUAAAACGAGAGAUCAUUUCACUGAAAUCUCUUUUAGAAGAUUUACAAUAGAGAUCAUUUCACUGAAAUCUCUUUUAGGAGAAAAGAAAAAUCAAUUACCUUAGCUCUGGUCAUCAUCAUCAUCAGGCCAUAUUAGUCCACUGCUGGACAUAGCCCUCCCCUAAAGAGCGCCAAAGCGCCCUGUCUUCAGCUUGCCGCAUCCAGCAUCUGCCUGCAGUCUUUCGCAGAUCGUCAUCCCACCUGGUCGGAGGGCGUCCUACACUACGUUUGCCGAGUCGCGGUCUCCACUCAAGAACACGUUUACCCCAGCGGUUGUCGGUUCUUCUUGAGAUAUGGCCAGCCCACUGCCACUUCAGCUUGCUAAUUCUUUGAGCUAUGUCGGUAACUUUGGUUCUCUGUCGGAUGUAUUCGUUACGAAUCCUAUCCUUCAGAGAAACCCCGAGCAUAGCUCU